ACGAACGCUGGCGGCGUGCUUCACCCCUGCCAGUCGAACGGAAAGGCCCUGCUUUUGUGGGGUGCUCGAGUGGCGAACGGGUGAGUAACACGUGAGUAACCUGCCCUUGACUUUGGGAUAACUUCAGGAAACUGGGGCUAAUACCGGAUAGGAGCUCCUGCUGCAUGGUGGGGGUUGGAAAGUUUCGGCGGUUGGGGAUGGACUCGCGGCUUAUCAGCUUGUUGGUGGGGUAGUGGCUACCAAGGCCUUGACGGGUAGCCGGCCUGAGAGGGUGACCGGCCACAUUGGGACUGAGAUACGGCCCAGACUCCUACGGGAGGCAGCAGUGGGGAAUAUUGCACAAUGGGCGGAAGCCUGAUGCAGCAACGCCGCGUGCGGGAUGACGGCCUUCGGGUUGUAAACCGCUUUCGCCUGUGACGAAGCGUGAGUGACGGUAAUGGGUAAAGAAGCACCGGCUAACUACGUG
rnacentral:rRNA from 1 species